rnacentral:rRNA from 1 species
GACGAACGCUGGCGGCGUGCUUAACACAUGCAAGUCGAACGGAAAGGCCCUGCUUUUGUGGGGUGCUCGAGUGGCGAACGGGUGAGUAACACGUGAGUAACCUGCCCUUGACUUUGGGAUAACUUCAGGAAACUGGGGCUAAUACCGGAUAGGAGCUCCUGCUGCAUGGUGGGGGUUGGAAAGUUUCGGCGGUUGGGGAUGGACUCGCGGCUUAUCAGCUUGUUGGUGGGGUAGUGGCUUACCAGGGCUUUGACGGGUAGCCGGCCUGAGAGGGUGACCGGCCACAUUGGGACUGAGAUACGGCCCAGACUCCUACGGGAGGCAGCAGUGGGGAAUAUUGCACAAUGGGCGGAAGCCUGAUGCAGCAACGCCGCGUGCGGGAUGACGGCCUUCGGGUUGUAAACCGCUUUCGCCCGUGACGAAGCGUGAGUGACGGUAAUGGGUAAAGAAGCACCGGCUAACUACGUG